UACAGAGGGUGCGAGCGUUAAUCGGAAUUACUGGGCGUAAAGCGCACGUAGGUGGCGACGUAAGGCGGGUGUGAAAGCCCCGGGCUCAACCUGGGAAUUGCAUUCGAGACUGCAUUGCUGGAGUACGGAAGAGGAGGGCGGAAUUCCCGGUGUAGCGGUGAAAUGCGUAGAUAUCGGGAGGAACAUCAGUGGCGAAGGUGGCCCUCUGGUCCAGUGCUGACACUCAAGUGCGAAAGCGUGGGGAGCAAACAGG
rnacentral:rRNA from 1 species